rnacentral:rRNA from 1 species
AUUGAACGCUGGCGGCAGGCCUAACACAUGCAAGUCGAGCGGAGCGGCGGACGGGUGAGUAAUGCCUAGGAAUCUGCCUGGUAGUGGGGGAUAACGACCGGAAACGGGCGCUAAUACCGCAUCCUAUCAGCUUCGCCUAGGUCGGAUUAGCUAGUUGGUGGGGUAAAGGUCUACAAAGGCGACGAUCCGUAGCUGGUCUGAGAGGAUGAUCAGUCACACUGGAACUGAGACACGGUCCAGACUCCUACGGGAGGCAGCAGUGGGGAAUAUUGGACAAUGGGCGAAAGCCUGAUCCAGCCAUGCCGCGUGUGUGAAGAAGGUCUUCGGAUUGUAAAGCACUUUAAGUUGGGAGGCGUUACCAACAGAAUAAGCACCGGCUAACUUCGUGCCAGCAGCCGCGGUAAUUC